CGAGCGAGCUGAACCAGCAGAUUCACUUCGGUGAUGACGCUGGGAACGCGAGCGGCGGAUGGGUGAGUAACACGUGGGUAACCUGCCCUAAAGUCUGGGAUACCACUUGGAAACAGGUGCUAAUACCGGAUAACAACAAUAGCUGCAUGGCUAUUGCUUAAAAGGCGGCGAAAGCUGUCGCUAAAGGAUGGACCCGCGGUGCAUUAGCUAGUUGGUAAGGUAAUGGCUUACCAAGGCGACGAUGCAUAGCCGAGUUGAGAGACUGAUCGGCCACAUUGGGACUGAGACACGGCCCAAACUCCUACGGGAGGCAGCAGUAGGGAAUCUUCCACAAUGGGCGAAAGCCUGAUGGAGCAACGCCGCGUGAGUGAAGAAGGUUUUCGGAUCGUAAAGCUCUGUUGUUGGUGAAGAAGGAUAGAGGUAGUAACUGGCCCCUAUUUGACGGUAAUCAACCAGAAAGUCACGGCUAACUACGUGCCAGCAGCCGCGGUAAUACGUAGGUGGCAAGCGUUGUCCGGAUUUAUUGGGCGUAAAGCGAGCGCAGGCGGAAAGAUAAGUCUGAUGUGAAAGCCCCCGGCUUAACCGAGGAAUUGCAUCGGAAACUGUGUUUCUUGAGUGCAGAAGAGGAGAGUGGAACUCCAUGUGUAGCGGUGGAAUGCGUAGAUAUAUGGAAGAACACCAGUGGCGAAGGCGGCUCUCUGGUCUGUAACUGACGCUGAGGCUCGAAAGCAUGGGUAGCGAACAGGAUUAGAUACCCUGGUAGUCCAUGCCGUAAACGAUGAGUGCUAAGUGUUG
rnacentral:rRNA from 1 species